UACGUAGGGUGCAAGCGUUUAAUCGAAUACUGGGCGUAAAGCGUGCGCAGGCGGUCCGCUAAGACCGAUGUGAAAUCCCCGGGCUUAACCUGGGAACUGCAUUGGUGACUGGCGGGCUGGAGUAUGGCAGGAGGGGGGGUAGAAUUCCACGUGUAGCAGUGAAAUGCGUAGAGAUGUGGAGGAAUACCGAUGGCGAAGGCAGCCCCCUGGGCCAAUACUGACGCUCAUGCACGAAAGCGUGGGGAGCAAACAGG
rnacentral:rRNA from 1 species